GCCAGCCCCGCGAGCUGAAUAAGGAAUACAGCGCGGGCUGCCCUGAGCGGUUUAUGAUGAAUUAUUCAGAGUGCGGGGCGGGCGCGGCUCCCGGGAUAAACCGGCGCGCGCGGCCGGAGCCCUCAGAGCGCGGCGGGGCGGCGGCAGGUGCCGUUCCCGGCCGCUGAGAGCCGCGGCCCCUCCGUGGGCUGGGCUGGCACUUCCACGGCCAUCCCUUCCCUGAGGAGCUGUGAAGAGCACGGAAAUGCCGGGAUGGACGGCGACAUGGGAGUUACAACUGAAAACGAUUCGUUUUUGUAUUUCGGUGUGCAAUAAAAAAUGAAAUGCUUAAAAGUUAAA